rnacentral:rRNA from 1 species
AACGAACGCUGGCGGCAGGCCUAACACAUGCGAGUCGAGCGCGCCCUUCGGGGUGAGCGGCGGACGGGUGAGUAACGCGUGGGAACGUGCCCUUCUCUGCGGAAUAGCCUCGGGAAACUGAGAGUAAUACCGCAUACGCCCUUUGGGGGAAAGAUUUAUCGGAGAAGGAUCGGCCCGCGUUGGAUUAGGUAGUUGGUGGGGUAAUGGCCCACCAAGCCGACGAUCCAUAGCUGGUUUGAGAGGAUGAUCAGCCACACUGGGACUGAGACACGGCCCAGCCUCCUACGGGAGGCAGCAGUGGGGAAUCUUAGACAAUGGGGGCAACCCUGAUCUAGCCAUGCCGCGUGAGUGAUGAAGGCCUUAGGGUUGUAAAGCUCUUUCAGCUGGGAAGAUAAUGACGGUACCAGCAGAAGAAGCCCCGGCUAACUCCGUG